GCUUAUGAGUGGAAUUGAAUCUCCGUGUGCGCCGUGUGCGGAUAGCUUGCUAUGCGUGUGUGGCUGCGUGUGGAUUGAAUCGAUACUUAACUUAUUGCCGUUCGGGACGUUGACGAAAUGGAGCGAUUUGACCCGUCUUGAAACACGGACCAAGGAGUCUAACAUGUGUGCAAGUGUUAGGGUGUGGAAACCCCAGCGCGUAAUGAAAGUAAAGGAUAGCGUAAGUUAUCUGAGGUAGGAAAUGCUGCGGGUUCGUCCUGCGGCGUGGCACUAUCGACCGAUCAUGAACCCUUGUGGUGAAAGAUUUGAGUAUGAGCACAUAUGUUGGUACCCGAAAGAUGGUGAACUAUGCCUGAGUAGGGUGAAGCCAGGGGAAACUCUGGUGGAAGCUCGUAGCGAUUCUGACGUGCAAAUCGAUCGUCAAACUUGGGUAUAGGGGCGAAAGACUAAUCGAACCAUCUAGUAGCUGGUUCCCUCCGAAAUUUCCCUCAGGAUAGCAGCAACUUAUUUACGAUAGUUUUAUGAGGUAAAGCGAAUGAUUAGAGGAUUCGGGGAAGAAACUUUCUCGACCUAUUCUCAAACUUUAAAUCUGUAAGACCUGCAGGUUUCUUAAUU
rnacentral:rRNA from 1 species